CACUGAACAAGGCCAGGGCUCGAACCCACGUCCCCAGGGAUACUAGUUGGGUUUGUUACCACUGAGCCAUCAUGGGAACUCCCUCUUUGGGAACUCUCUUUUUGACAAGACCAGGCACAUUCAAGGUGGUAUGGCCAUAGACUGGAAACUCCCUUUUCGAUCAAGGACCUCAUGACCAUAUUUGUAUGUGUGAUUAAGACUGAUGAUAGACUGGAGAGGGUAAUAUUGGAGACAAGAGACUAGUUAGGAGAUUUUUAUGGAAGUCCAGGUGAAAGACAAUGGAGACCUGAUGGGGGAAAAGGAAUGAGGAGAGGAAAGUUACCCAUUGCAAAGGUCGAGUAGAAAUUGGCAGGAUUCAAAUUUAGAUCUUUAGCUCCAAGUGCGUGUAUAUGAGGUCUUUCUUUACCAGCAUUAUGGCAAGCUGGCCUCCCACAAACCCUUUAUAGCUAAGUCAUUUUGUGAAAAUUGUAUGUCGUGGGCCAGAUCUAUAGGACGUGAAGAAUCCAAAACCAUGAAAACAUUUGUGGCAGUUUAAUAUUUUUGAGAUAUUUUUGGUUGCCCCUUCCAGCACUCAAGCAGGUAGAAGACUCUGAGCUGAGCUUCCUCGCCUGUGAGAGAUCUGAAACAGAACAUCCCAGGUUUUAUUUCUGAGCCACAGCACAUGCCAGGGGAAAGAGUUUGAAGAGGGGAGAUUUCAGCCCGACGAGGAAGACAUUUUCGAAUCAGGAGGAGGAAGAUGGGAUCUCACCACCUUAGGAUGUGGGAGGAGAUUAGGGAAAGUAUCCAGGAGGGGACAUGGGGGCUGGAUCCAAGGCCUGGUGCUCGCCAAGGCGCUGCAUCCUUAGUGUGUGAUGCAGACAGACCAACCUAAUGGGACAAUGUGAGCUGGUGUAAUCAACAACCCAAAGGAUAUCUCAGGAAAAUGAGCACUAUGUGAAACCACAGCAAAACCCUAGUUUGCCAUGAAAUUACUCUCCAGAAAGAGAGCCAGAGGUUACAAUGAAUUGAUGUGUAGAAAUAAAAACAUGCACUGAAAUACUGAAAACAAAAUUUACAAUGAAAUAAAGGAAAGGGUGAAACUCAUUCCUGCAAUUCUGCACUGCGUAGAACCCUGGAUGAGAGCAAGACCUUCUAUAGCCUGAAGGGGUGGGAAAUCCAGAACAUAUUUUUGUGUCUGUCUCUCCCUUUUUUCUUAAUUCUUUUUUUGUUUUUACAAGUUCACUAACCCAGGUUUUUAUUUAUUUAUUUAUUUAUUUUACUCAGUGAAUUUUAUUAUAUUUAUAGUUGUACAAUGAUUAUCACAACCAAAUUUUAUAGCAUUUCCAUCCCAAACCCCCAGCCCAUCCCCCCACCCCAACCCACCUCCUUUGGAAACCAUGUUUUUCAAAGUCUUUGAGUCAGUAUCUGUUCUGCAAAAAAGUUUACUGGGUCCUUUUUUUAUUUUUUAAUUUUAAUUUAAUUUAAUUUUAUUUUUUGCUUGUUAGGGCUGCACCUGUGGCAUAGGGAGGUUCCCAGGCUAGGGGUCCAGUUGGAGCUGCAGCUGCUGGCCUACACCACAGCCACAGCAACGCUAGAUCUGAGCCACAUCUGCAGCCUACACCACAGCUCAUGGCAACACCAGAUGCUUAACCCACCAAGCGAGGCCAGGGAUUGAACCUGCAACCUUAUGGUUCCUGGUUGGAUUCAUUUCUGCUGCACCAGAAUGGGAACUCCACUGGGUCCAUUUUUUAGAUUCUGCAUGUAAGUGAUAGCAUAUGAUGUUGGUGUCUCACUGUCUGACUAACUUCACUUAGCAUGAUAAUUUCUAGGUCCAUUCAUGUUGCUGUAAAUGCCAUUAUUUCUUUCCUUUUAAUGAUGGAGACUAUUCCACUGUGUGUAUGUACCACAUCUUCUUUAUCCACUCCUAUGGACAUUUAGGUUGUUUCCAUGUCUUAGCUAUUGUAAAUAGUGCUGCAGUGAACUUUGGAGUACAUGCUUCUUUUUGAGUCAUGGUUUUCCCUUUUUUAAAUUCUGAUUCAAAUCAGACUGGGUCUACUUGUAAAUGUUCUAAGUAACCCAGAUCUCCCCUCAGAAGAAUUCUAGCAUUGCUGAGCUGGGGCUUUCAGGACAAAUUCACAAGGUGUUUGGAAAUAUCAAGAUAAUAUUCUAGUUAUAGUCUAAUUUUCCCUUUACUAAUACAAACGCUCAAAUAAAUAUCUCUGCAUACAGUAUUUAUCUAAACAUCUUCAUGUAUACAAAACUUCAGAGAUGGUGACCUCGUAUAGAAUAAGCAUAAUUUGCAAAAUCAACAUGAACAUCCCAUUUAAAGCAAUAUCCCCUGGGUGUUGUCUGAGCUAAAAGACAAGUUCAUUAUAUUUAUUUUCUGGAAAAAAUAUGUCAAACCUUAAAUAUGACUAAAAAUCAGACAUUUUGGGGGAAAAAAUUCAGUCCUAUAAAGAAGGAAGUAUUCUAUAUUCAUAGUGUCAGAAAAAUUCAGUCCUAUAAAGAAGGAAGUAUGCUAUAUUCAUAGUGUCAGAAAUACAUGGUUAUGUUUUAGAAAUCUGAGAAAAAUUUAUGUUGUCUUUCUGUUCUAUUUUGCCUACUGCAAGCCCCUCUUACCCUAUGUUCAUUCUAUUUAAUUUUCUCCCUGUCUUUGAGUAGUUUUAUCUUAAAAACAGUAUAAUCCCCAAAAAAGGCAAGAAGAAUUCAAUGAAAAAAAAAUAAUCAAAGCCAUUCAUGGUUUAUGUGCCCAGACUAAGCAGUAUUUAUGGAAGAGUUGUUCUUUUUUUUUUUUUCUUGAAGUCCAAUGUGUAAAUUAAGUUGCACCAAGGCAAGUCAAAUUAUUCCCCAGCCAUUUGUAGCAUGCAGUGUUUUAUGUGACUUUUUACCCUCUUAUUCAAAAAAACAAUGCGUACUUGUAUAGCAGCCAGACGAAGUGGUGAUUCACACGCAUCUAGGAGAUGCCAAGUACUGUACCUCCUUAAGGAAACACACUCACCCAUGUGUAAUGAGAGUUUGGAUUUCCUGAAGUGAUUCAACGUUAAACAGAAUUCAGCAUUGAACUGAAUAUUCAUAGAUGUUGACAAUCACAGCGCAGAUAUACUAGAGUUUCAUUUGCCUUUGUGCAACUCCCACUCGUUUAGUUAAAGAUGCAUCCUUGUUAUGUUGAAGUGGAACAUUUUCACUCACUCAAGGAAACUGAUUGAAGAAUUUGGCCUGUUUUUUUUUUUAUAUUACUAAAAUAAAACAGUCAAAGAUUUUUUUUCAAGAAAGGAUGGCCAGCUUUGUCUCUGUGACAAUGAACUCCCCUUGAGCCCCUGUCUUAAAUUUUGCAGCUUUUAAUUCAAGAGGAACACUGAACUAGGCUGGCAACUGGCUAUUUGAUUGCUAGUUUGAUACUAUAGGUCCUGGUCGCUAUUAGACAAAAAUGCUUGAAAAAUCCAUAGCCUGCUUGAUGUCAGGUCACCAGAAAUUUUUGCUUUUAAAAUGCAGGCAGAGGAAUAGAGAUUUGAUAUGGCAGCAUUAGGGAGCCAUAGUGGGUCACUGAGUGAGGAAGUAAGGAUUUGAUUGAAAAUUCAAUUCUCCCAGAUUGUAUAAAUGCUACUGCUUAAAGAAAUCCAGCUAUUUUACCCUUUGGAGAUAGUAACCAAAACCAGAAGUUCUUGAAAUAAAUGAGUGAAAAAAAAAAAAAAAAGAGCAGGGAUAGGGGAGGACGAGGCAGCUGCCAGAGCUGUAGUGGGCACGGCCACUGGAGGGCAAAGAGGGCUUUAUGUACAGCUUGAACUACGCAAAUUAAAAAAUAAGGCCAUUUGGACAUGUGUACAAGGCAAACAGUCACACAGAGAAUUUGAAUGCAUUAUUCACAGCAUCUAGGUCCUUUAAUCACUAAGUGUUUGGAAGAUUAGAAUUUCAACCUAAAUUAUAAAAGUGUCACAGUGAGAUUCUACCUAAACUAAAAGUUGGGGAAUCCAAACGAAAUUGCUAUAAAGAAAGGCUGAAAUGUGUUUCUUGAGGCCAGCCCUCAAGAAGUGUACAGUGCAAGAAGGCGAUGGCCCCCUUCCAAAUCAUCCAUUAAUUCACUAUGAGAAAGCCAUCUUUUCACCAACAGGCAUCUGUUUCAGGGUUGGGACUGGAGACGCAGAAAACCUUUUGUUUCCCGGGAAUUUAUAUGGGCUAGCCUUGUUUAUGUGGGCUAGCUUUGCUACAGGCAGCCUGCCAGAAGCACAAACUCUCAAGCACUGUCCCAGAAAUCCUAAUUGAGAAUCUCUGUUUUAAUAAGUUCCUCAGGUGAUUUCUGUGCACAUUGAAGGAUUUGCAGGUAUGUGCUUUGAUACGUUCAAAUCAACUGUCUCUCUCAAAAGCCCAAUUCCAAAAUGGCACCUAGUAUACCCUAAAUGUUAUGCUAUGUCUACAAGAAGAAACAAAAUUAUUCUUUCUUUGUAACAUAGCAAUAAACACAAUACCUUGAAUUUAUAAGAUUUCUCUUAUGUAAUAAUGAUGUGUAUGUCUAAGUGGUAUAUGUGUAAGAAGCCCCAUGAAUGUUCUAGGGCAGUGAUUCUCAAAGUGGGGUCCCUGGGAACUUGUUAGAAAUGCAGAUUCUCAGGCUCCAUCCUGGACCUACUGACUUGGAAACCCUGGAGGAGGGGACCAGCAGUCUGUGUUUUAACAAGUUCUCCUGGUGAUUCUGACAUCAGCUCAGGUUUGAGAGCCUCUGCUUCUAAACCACCACAGGAGCUACUCAAAAUCAUUGGUGUCAUUAGCAGUGACUUGAGCUCUGAGGUAGUGAAAAAAACCUCAUCAAAUGGAAAAUUAUUCUGAUACAUUUCAAAACUGUCAAAGCAGAAAUGUCAAAGCCUAUCUCACAAGUACCUUCUAAUGAAUUGAUUUAUAUUAUUUAUGUAGAACAGACUGACUGGCCAGCUUGAUAAUGCAUCUCACCCUUCUAUGGCAGGAGAGGCAGUUGCCUCCGCCCACCCUGUUCCCAUUGUAUGGAUUAGAAGAGGUGUAAUUCUUCUGAAAGUUUGUUGAGCAGACAACAUGGGUCCCCUACAAGGAAGCUCUGAUUUGACCCCUAGCCUGGGAACUUCCAUGUGCUGUGGGGACAGCCCUAAAAAAAAAGAAUGUACUGGCUUCAGAAAAAAAAAAAAAAAAAAAAAAAAAAAAAAAAGA
rnacentral:lncRNA from 1 species